rnacentral:tRNA from 1 species
GGUGAGAUGGCCGAGUUGGUUAUGGCGCCAGGUUAAGGUCUUCUUAACAUCUAAUUCCUGGUCACGAAAGUGGCGUGGGUUCGAGUCCCACUCUCAUCA